AUGCCAGAACAUUAUCUGUAAGCCACAGCCUCAUUGUGAUACAUAGAUUAAUAGGAAUGGCUUUAUUUAAGACAUAAGAGCUAGCUAGGAACACGCCUAUGUCAUUGGCUAAGCAGUGUGGUAAUUAAUAUAGUAUUAUUCAGGUCUGGGUAGCCAGAAAAUAAAAGCACAUUCUAGUUUACAUGGAUUGCUAGAAUGGUUUCCAGGCUAUGACGCUGCUAGUCCAACAAUGGCUGUCUUCAGGCAGAAGACCAAGAAUCCAGCAGCUGCUCAGCCAUGAAACUGGAUGUCUUGGCUGCCCUCAGUCUCCAUAGCAGGACAAAGAGUGGCACCGAGAGUGAAGGCAAGCAGCAUGCAGGGUCUCUUCACUCAGUCACCCUACUUGCUUGCUCCAAGACACCUCAGUCCGUCAGAGUCACGGGGAAGAGAUUCCCUGGCAAAAUCUGGAUGCCUAUCCUAAAGCUGAGAGGCUUGGGGCCUCAGUUGUCCAAGAAUAUUUAAACUGCAGAGAACGCUUUCUCACAAUAUUGAGUCCUCACCAGUCCUCUCUAAAGCUUAGUAAGUAUGCAUCUCUGAGCCUGGAAUUUGGAAAAUCUGCUUCAAGUCCAAGUGUGAGAAUUGGGAAUCUGUAUUCUUAUUUUUCACCAACAUAAUAAUUUUAUUAAUUACUUGGGAAUUUUAUACAGUGCACACUGAUCAUACUUGCUUCCAAUUCCUCUCAGGUCUAAUCUCCUACCCUUGUGCCCUCCCCUCAAAAAGAAAAAAAAAGGCUGUAAGUUCAAUUUGUGUUGUGCAGGGUCCAGUCUACCCUUGCACCUUAGGGUGCAUCUUGAGGAGAGUUUCUGGUCAGCCAGCUAAAGCAUCCUGUUUGUUCCUGUGCUCCCUCUGCCUUAGCCUGGUGAUUAGCUAAAGAGCAUUGUUUCAUCUUUGGUAUGGUAAUUUCCCAUCUGCCUGGGAGGAAAUCCUUAUGCAACAGCCAGGUAUAAUACGUUUUCCCUUAGACUGAAUAAAUGGCAUUCGGCUGAUCUCCUUUCGAAUGACCCAGGUCUCUUGUGUGUUUCUUUCAAUCUCCAGGCGUUUGCCUGGACUCGCGAUUGGUACAGAGGCGUGUGAACUGUACCGAGGGGGUAACGCAGAAUCGAGUGUUACAAUUGGAGGCCCCGCUGGGAUCAUCAGCAGCUACAGUUGGAGACCCAUCUGCUGAGACCCAUCGGCGAGAUCAGGAAGUAGAGAUCCCUGAGAGGUUGCCCUUGGAAUGCUGGCCAGCAGAACUCAACCUUACACCCAGUGACUGGAUGCAGCCUUGCAGGGCUUGUCUUUCGGGGCGAGAUUAUUUGUUAUGGAGAGGUGAUAUACAAAAAAAUUACAAAAAGACUACACGGAAUAAUGCCGGCCAUUAAAGCUUGAAAAACUUCUAACAAAGGAGCAGGAAAACAGCUUUUUAAGACCCUUCAAGAAUCUUCAAAACCUUAUUCUAAGUUUAUUGAUCGCCUUCUACAGGAUGCUGACAAUCCAAUUUGGGUACCUGAGCAUCUGGUGCAUGCUGUGGAUUUUCCUGUCCAGAAGCCUAAAGACAGGACAAAACCAAGAGAUCCAGCAGACACUGGCUUGUCAACUAAAGAGUUGCUGGGUUCCUGAGGAGCUGGCUGUGGUGGUCCGAGUGCCAAGGAUUGUUCCUUUACCUAUCUACCCUUCCCAUGAUAUUGGCAGCCAUUGCUGUGGCUUCCAGAGCAGCUAAUGCUGCUGGAUUUUCCUUUAAUCAGUUAGUUGCUUCUGCUAAUAAAAUGGAUACCUUCUCAGGGCAGGUUACAAAUGCGUUGGCCGUUCAAAUUAAGCUAAAUUUACAAUUAAAUA